rnacentral:lncRNA from 1 species
AUUAGAUUUGUUCCAAGUGUUGUCUCUGUAGCAUUUUUUAGGUUACUCCAGUAGUUUCUUUUACAAUUGCCACGUGAUCAUCGGCUGUUCCAUAGCCGGUCAUCUUCACAUUAAAUCGGCCAACCCGCUGAUACAUCUUUCGGAAUAGAUCAGAAAUUCAGCCGAUCGAAUCUCUGGAAUUUGAUAUCUUUUCUCCCUUAUCAAUCAACAGGUCAGAUUGACUGACACCUGCGCGAACCGCAUCAGGGCGAUAACCCGAACAGGAGCUAAGCAGAUUCUCCCGGGUCGUGUGUCCGAUGCAGGAGUUAGGGUCACUAUCUGAUUUUUUGCGUCAACAAAAACAAUUAGAAUAAAUAGUUGAGAUAAAAUUUACAAAACAUAUUCAGAAAAGCUAAGCAAAAAAUUCAAGAAAAAUUGAAUAAAAAAUUAUGAACAGAAUUCGAAAAUGUUUUGUACAAAACUCUUGCAACAAAAUCUAGAACAAAAGAGAGAGAAAGUAAACAAAGAGCUAUGCCUCCAUAAGCUUGCCGGCGAGGCCGAUGCUUCGCAUCCCCACGCCGUGCGUCAUGCACAGCCGCUGACCUCCCUGCAAAUCGCUGUCACUCUUUGGGCCUGUCGCCGCAGCCAAGUGUGGUCACUCACCGGGGACGCCAACGCGCUCCUGCCCGCUUCUGCGUAGCGCCGUCGCUACGUGCUCACCCGCACGCCGCCAGUUGCAGCUGCUCGCCCCGAGCUCGUGCGCCGCUAGGGCACCACGCUGCCGCUGCAGGACGCUUCUGAGCCCUCGCAGCUUCUCAAGGUCUGCAGGGAGAGAGAAAAGGCAGAGGGAAUGAGAGAGAGUCACGGGAAAAGAAAUAGGAUAGGUUGGAGUAGAUAGGAGCCUAAUCUUCUGGUGGGGAGGGGAUGGUGGGCCAGCGACCCAGCAUGCAUGCGUGAUGCGUCAUCGACCGGAGGGAGCGGAACGGUCGGUUGUAAAUUCAGCUAUGCUUGUGUGCGCCCUACCUUACAUUACAAAAGCUGAAACACAUCACAAAUUAAAGCUCAAGAAAAAAGAAAAGAAAAACAGUACUACUUUGGUGGGUGUCACACUGUACAGGGAGAGCGCACUGUGAUUAAGCAUGGAUGCAGUUCCCUUCACUUGCUAAAUUUGGUACUGCAUCGGCAGAUACUCCUGUAUGCUUAAACAAGAAGCCGAGACCUGAACUAGCAAUGAUGGCAGUCCUUGUAUAUGCUAGCAGAGAAUGGUUCGGUUCAUCACAUCACAAAAAGGAAUAGUUGCUUGCCUACC